rnacentral:rRNA from 1 species
CCUACGGGGGGCAGCAGUGGGGAAUAUUGCACAAUGGGGGAAACCCUGAUGCAGCGACGCCGCGUGAGGGAAGAAGUAAUUCGUUACGUAAAGCUCUAUCAGCAGGGAAGAAAUACUGACCUUACGGUCAGCAGACGGUACCUGAGUCAGAAGCCCCGGCUAACUACGUGCCAGCAGCCGCGGUAAUACGUAGGGGGCAAGCGUUAUCCGGAUUUACUGGGUGUAAAGGGAGCGUGGACGGUGCGCCACGUCUGGAGUGAAAUGCCGCAGCUUAACUGCGGAACUGCUUUGGAAACUGGCGAACUAGAGUGCGGGAGGGGUAAGCGGAAUUCCUAGUGUAGCGGUGAAAUGCGUAGAUAUUAGGAGGAACACCGGUGGCGAAGGCGGCUUACUGGACCGUAACUGACGUUGAGGCUCGAAAGCGUGGGGAGCAAACAGGAUUAGAUACCCCGGUAGUC